rnacentral:rRNA from 1 species
AGCAGCAGCCGCGGUAAUACGAAGGGUGCAAGCGUUACUCGGAAUUACUGGGCGUAAAGCGUGCGUAGGUGGUGGUUUAAGUCCGUUGUGAAAGCCCUGGGCUCAACCUGGGAAUUGCAGUGGAUACUGGGUCACUAGAGUGUGGUAGAGGAUAGUGGAAUUUCCGGUGUAGCAGUGAAAUGCGUAGAGAUCGGAAGGAACAUCUGUGGCGAAGGCGACUAUCUGGGCCAACACUGACACUGAGGCACGAAAGCGUGGGGAGCAAACAGGAUUAGAGACCCCGGUAGUCCCUGUCUCUUAUAC